rnacentral:tRNA from 2 species
GGUGUAAUAAGUUUUCAGUUACAAUGAAAAAGACCCGUUGGGCACUUUUUAACAGUGAUGGUUUUUAUAA